GACGAACGCUGGCGGCGUGCUUAACACAUGCAAGUCGAGCGGAAAGGCCCUUCGGGGUACUCGAGCGGCGAACGGGUGAGUAACACGUGAGUAACCUGCCCUUGGCUCUGGGAUAAGCCCGGGAAACUGGGUCUAAUACCGGAUACGACCACUGGAUGCAUGUCUGGUGGUGGAAAGUUUUUCGGCUGGGGAUGGACUCGCGGUCUAUCAGCUUGUUGGUGGGGUGAUGGCCUACCAAGGCGACGACGGAUAGCCGGCCUGAGAGGGUGACCGGCCACACUGGGACUGAGACACGGCCCAGACUCCUACGGGAGGCAGCAGUGGGGAAUAUUGCGCAAUGGGCGGAAGCCUGACGCAGCGACGCCGCGUGGGGAUGAAGGCC
rnacentral:rRNA from 1 species